UUUAAAACAUAAACUUAAUUAAAAAUAAAUGAUUUGCUUGGGCAUGUUAGACUUCUCCCCCUAGCUAUCCUCAUAGCCAAAUGAGAGCUAUGUGCCAGUAGUGUUUAGUUGAACUUGGUAGCAAAACAUUUGAAAGCAAGCUAACAUUAUAUAUUUUUUACAGUCCAUCAAAAAGCAGCUAGGAACAUUUAAACAAAAUCCUUUUUAACAUUUUAUAAAAAUUUUACAUUUAAAAAAAAUGUUUUGUCAGAUUGAUUGUCUCUAAUCAUAGCUUGUUUACCCAGCACACAGUACCAUUUUAGCAUUUUUCCAACCCUUAGAAUGUAUUCUAAGUCUAAAAACAGACAUUAUGAUAAGUUUGACAGCAAAACUUAUAAAGUUUAGGAUUUAAAUUAUUCAUCAAUCAAGUUUAUUGCAAAAUUUUAACAUUACGAUCCACAGGGCAAAGAACUGUUUAUUUAUAGAGUUAAUCCCAAUCUGGUCAUUAUUAUGAAAACAGAAGUGUGGCCGAACCUUAUCAAGGCACUGCAUCACAGAAUCCACGAAAAAAGCAGUUUAUUGAUUUUUAAGACUUCCUAUCUUGUAAAUGAUAAAGAAUAUUAUUGGAAGAUAUGUUAAAUCGUAAGAAUGGAGAGAAAAAAAAGCAAUGAGGGUCACAUGACAAUUUUUUCAUCUAAGGAGAUGAAGCAUAUCUAUUUUUGUAACUUUUGCAGAUAGAAAACAUUCUAAGGAUUAGAAAAAUGCUAAAAUGAUGACAUCUAGAAAAUAUUCCGGGCUGUCUUCUACGUCUUUGUAGUACAAGUAGUCGGCUAUCCUGUUGAAGUCGUUCCUGUUCUCGUAUGUCUGCUGAUCGACGAGUAGGACAGUUUUGGGCUGCAUCUGACAAUAUUCCUGUUCGACGCGUCCGCCGCUGUUCCAUAUCACCUCCGCAAGCGCGUUCUUCUCCUCUUCUUCAGUGAGGAUCAAAUGGAAAGAAAUGGCAAAGCCCUCGUCAGAAAGGAACAAAGCCGGGUUCACCGGCUCCUCUGCGUUCUGGUCCAUCCCGUUUCACGUUUCGACCGACUACAUUUGUCAAGACGUAUGGUUAAACGGAACGAGCUGAAUUCAGAAGUACGAACAACGUGGACGAAAAUAAACAAACCGUUUACCCUACAAAUAAAAAUUAGGAGGGCAUCAUCAACAUUUACCUCAGAACCUAGCAAAUGCUAUUAUUGCAGUACAUAGUGCUUCCAGCGGAACUGCUUGUAAUCAAAGAAUUGGUGGGGUACUAAGCAGUCUGUGGUCUUGAUCAGCUCAUGCUAUUGUUGUGCAUAAUGUUCAUGAUGAUGCCUGUUGACAACUACAGUUGAUGCAAACUGAUCAAUAUUACAAAAUCAUAAUUAAAAAAACAAUUUGUCAGCUCGAUCACCUAGCGUAUGUUAUCGCUGUGUUACUCCUACACGAGGGAAGACUUCUUUCAUUUUUUGACUGAUUGUCCCAUUCUCACAGAGUUUCGAGUUCUCUUUUUAGGAGAGUUUUGAGAUUGCGUCUGAUUGCAAAACUUAAUUCCCUGGAUUGCUCUAGCGUAUCACAGAGAGCUCAUGGAGAAGUUUAAUUUUUAAUUUUAUGUUGAGAAGCACUAACAAUUUUAAUCUAAUUUAAUUUUGGUUGGGCACUAAACCCCCUAACCAGUCUGUGGUCUUGAACAGUUUGUGCUCAAAUAAAAAAUGCAUAUUGCUCAUAACAAUGCUUGUAACUAUAGAAGGUGAAAACUGAUCAAUAUCCACUGGAAAUGUUACAAAAUCAUUAGAAAAAUCAACUUGGUACGGUUGAUCAUCUAGCCCAAAUUGCUUGCAAAGUUCCCAUGGUGAACUUGCUUGUGACUACAGUUGGUUGGGCACUAAACCCACUAACCAGUCUGUGGUCUUGAACAGCUCAUGCUCAAAUAAAAAAUGCAUAAUGCUCAUAACAAUUCUUGUAACUACAGAAGGUGCAAACUGAUCAAAGCCACUGGAAAUGUUACAAAAUCAUUAGAAAAAUUAACCUGGUUCGGUUGAUCAUCUAGCCCAAAUUGCUGUGCAUAGUUCUCAUGGUGGAUCUGCUAAUAAGUACACAAUUGUUGCAAACUGUUCACAUUUUAAUUUUACUUAUUUUCAUUGAUUAUAACUAUUAUACCCAUGUUUGCAACUGUUAAAAAGAAAAGCAAGAAAUGAUGGAUCUGCUUGUAACUCUCAGUUGGUAGGGUACUAACAAGUCUGUGGCCUAGAUCAGCUUAUGCUAAAAUUCAAAUUGCGUAAAACUUAUAUAUGUAAUUACAGUUGGUGCAAAUUUCCACUAGAAAAGCUACUAAUCAUUAAAAAAAAAAAAUUGGUUCAGCUUGAUCAUUUAGCUCAAAAUUGCUGUGCAUAGUUCUCAUGGUUGAUCUGCUAAUAAGUACAUGGUAGACACAAAUUGAUUGCUUUACAAAGGUUGAUUAUUAUAGUACAUUAUUACUAUUAAAAAUAUCACCUAGAAACUGUUUAGAUUGCUGUACGUAGUUUUCAUGAUCCAGUGUUUCGCAGGGAGUUCUUUUGUUGACAGUGACACUUCGAGGAGACAACGAACGUGAAAAUCUUUAGAUGUUAUGUGUUUGUGUCUUGUUCUUUUACUAGUGAUUUGACAACCUGAGGUAACAAAGAAAUGAUAGCAAGUUAAGAAAAUAGAAGAAAAAAUAUGAAUCAGUAAAAAAGAUGUGGAAAAAAAAGCAGAAUUUUCCAUUUUAUGCAUAGAAUACUGGUGAUGACCAGUAGAUGUUUGUUACCCUGUAACUAAUAUGUAUGUACUACUACUGCCAUAGGUCGUAUUUUGCUUCAAUUUAGUAGUAAUUCAAUAUGCUGAAAAUAAAAUAUAUAACGCACCAAGUGUGAAUGCUGAAGAAACCUAAUUAAUAAAAAAUUGUCUCUAGUUAGAAGUAGUUUAAGUAAAAAAUUUGGCAAAUAAUGUUGUCACCUUUGCUCAAGCUUAUAACUCUCCAUACAGUAGUUCUAAUGAUCAGGAUGCCUGAUUUUGUUUGUAUAUUUUUUCAAGAAUCUAUUUUACAUCAGAAAAUAAUAACUGAUCAAUAUGUU
rnacentral:misc_RNA from 1 species